AACGCGAAGAACCUUACCUACCCUUGACUUGUAGCGAACCUCGCAGAGAUGCGAGGGUGCCCGAAAGGGAACGCUAACACAGGUGCUGCAUGGCUGUCGUCAGCUCGUGUCGUGAGAUGUUGGGUUAAGUCCCGCAACGAGCGCAACCCUUGUCAUUAGUUGCUACAUUUAGUUGGGCACUCUAAUGAGACUGCCGGUGACAAACCGGAGGAAGGUGGGGAUGACGUCAAGUCCUCAUGGCCCUUAUGGGUAGGGCCUCACACGUAAUACAAUGGCCGGUACAGAGGGCUGCCAACCCGCGAGGGGGAGCUAAUCUCAGAAAGCCGGUCGUAGUCCGGAUUGUUCUCUGCAACUCGAGAGCAUGAAGUUGGAAUCGCUAGUAAUCGCGGAUCAGCAUGUCGCGGUGAAUACGUUCCCGGGCCUUGUA
rnacentral:rRNA from 1 species